GAAGAAAGCAAGUUUCACUGUAUUUCACUGCGAAGUCACGCUGUUUCCCAGGAAUAAGAUGUUCAGGACUCGAUCUGGCACUCGAUCAGUAACUGCUUUAUGUCGGAGGCCUUUGCUGGAUUUCAGGCUCAGUGUGACUCAGAACGCGGCACUCCUGCUAACUAAGAAGACGGGUGAACAGUGCCCAUGAUGAAGAGCCCAUUUUGUUGCCACACUCAGCUCCUGCAGAGAAAUGUGGAAAGGGUGUGGUCUGGAAUGAUCUGCUGAUAAGUGGGAAGGAGCAGUAGGAUCAGGUAGGAACACCAAAAACCUUGCUCCUUUCCUGACUCUGCUAAUGAGCAGC